GCAAGUCGAGGGGCAGCAUUUCUAGCUUGCUAGAAGAUGGCGACCGGCGCACGGGUGAGUAACGCGUAUGCAACCUACCUUACAUUGGGGGAUAGCCCAGAGAAAUCUGGAUUAAUACCGCAUAACAUAUUUGAAUCGCAUGGUUUAAAUAUUAAAACUCCGGUGGUAUAAGAUGGGCAUGCGUAGCAUUAGUUAGUUGGUGAGGUAACGGCUCACCAAGACAAUGAUGCUUAGGGGUCCUGAGAGGGAGAUC
rnacentral:rRNA from 1 species